rnacentral:rRNA from 1 species
UACAGAGGGUGCAAGCGUUGUUCGGAAUUAUUGGGCGUAAAGCGCGUGUAGGCGGCUUGGCAAGUCGGGUGUGAAAUCCCUCAGCUUAACUGAGGAAGUGCGCCCGAAACUGCUUUGCUUGAGUGUCGGAGAGGAUGGCGGAAUUCCCCAAGUAGAGGUGAAAUUCGUAAAUAUGGGGAGGAACACCGGUGGCGAAGGCGGCCAUCUGGACGACAACUGACGCUGAGACGCGAAAGCGUGGGGAGCAAACAGG